GUACUGUGGCUGCCCAAGUCCUCUGUUAAACCCACCGAUUUAAUCGUUGGCGUGCGGGGGAUACUUGCUCGGCUAGGGGACGAGAGAGCAGACGGUAUUCCCGGGGUAGGGGUGAAAUCCUAUAAUCCCGAGAAGACCACCAGUGGCGAAGGCUGUCUGCUAGAACGCGCCCGACGGUGAGGGAUGAAAGCUGGGGGAGCGAACCGGAUUAGAUACCCGGGUAGUCCCAGCUGUAAACGAUGCAAACUAGGUGUUUGGACGGCCACGUGCCGUUCUAGUGCCGCA
rnacentral:rRNA from 1 species